AGCAGCCGCGGUAAUUCCAGCUCCAAUAGCGUAUAUUAAAGUUGUUGCAGUUAAAAAGCUCGUAGUUGAAUUUCGGGAUUAAUAUGCUGGUCGUGCCAUUGGUACGUACUAGUAUUAUUGAUUUCUCCCUUCUGAUGAAUCAUGAUGUCAUUAAUUUGAUGUCAUGGGGAAUCAGGACUGUUACUUUGAAAAAUUAGAGUGUUUAAAGCAGGCUCGCGCUUGAAUACAUUAGCAUGGAAUAAUGAAAUAGGACGUUUGAUUCUAUUUUGUUGGUUUCUAGGAUUGACGUAAUGAUUAAUAGGGAUAGUUGGGGGCAUUAGUAUUCAAUUGUCAGAGGUGAAAUUCUUGGAUUUAUUGAAGACUAACUACUGCGAAAGCAUUUUGCCAAGGAUGUUUUCAUUAAUCAAGAACGAAAGUUAGGGGGAUCGAAGACGAUCAGAUACCGUCGUAGUCUUAACCAUAAACUAUGCCGACUAGGGGAUCGGGAUGAUGUUAAUUAUGACU
rnacentral:rRNA from 1 species